CCUACGGGUGGCAGCAGUGGGGAAUAUUGGACAAUGGGGGGAACCCUGAUCCAGCCAUGCCGCGUGUGUGAAGAAGGCCCUCGGGUUGUAAAGCACUUUCAGUGAGGAAGAACGCCUGGUGGUUAAUACCCAUCAGGAAAGACAUCACUCACAGAAGAAGCACCGGCUAACUCCGUGCCAGCAGCCGCGGUAAUACGGAGGGUGCGAGCGUUAAUCGGAAUUACUGGGCGUAAAGCGCACGUAGGUGGCUUGAUAAGCCGGUUGUGAAAGCCCCGGGCUCAACCUGGGAACGGCAUCCGGAACUGUCAAGCUAGAGUGCAGGAGAGGAAGGUAGAAUUCCCGGUGUAGCGGUGAAAUGCGUAGAGAUCGGGAGGAAUACCAGUGGCGAAGGCGGCCUUCUGGACUGACACUGACACUGAGGUGCGAAAGCGUGGGUAGCAAACAGGAUUAGAUACCCUAGUAGUC
rnacentral:rRNA from 1 species